UACGUAGGGUGCAAGCGUUGUCCGGAAUUAUUGGGCGUAAAGAGCUCGUAGGCGGUUUGUCGCGUCGAAUGUGAAAACCCGGGGCUCAACCCCGGGCCUGCAUUCGAUACGGGCAGACUAGAGUUCGGUAGGGGAGUCUGGAAUUCCUGGUGUAGCGGUGAAAUGCGCAGAUAAUCAGGAGGAACACCGGUGGCGAAGGCGGGUCUCUGGGCCGAUACUGACGCUGAGGAGCGAAAGCGUGGGAGCGAACAGG
rnacentral:rRNA from 1 species